rnacentral:rRNA from 1 species
AUGAGCCUCCGCCGCCACGUGAAUCUGUUGUUGGAGAACCACAAAAAGUGCGCCUAUUCGCUUCACCUCCUCAAGCGCGACCAUUUAUUCUACCCAACGGAAGAAGCAGCAAAGGUGCGAGAUUUGCCCAGACUAAGAAAAGUGCCACCAUACUCACCUUUUGGGACCAAGGUGAAUGGCCAAAAGAAGAAGAACCAGGCGGCUCUCUCAGAUAAGCUGGAGAGUAUUAAGCUGUCGCCGGCAGUCUUCACUGUGCGGCCAUCGAUGGCUUGCAACGGCGAAGCCCGAUUGAGUUGUUUCUCUCUCUCUGGAAGCAAGAUCUUCUUCACUGAUAGUGGGGCACGCACCACCCUCUAUGACACUGAGGACCGCUGCAUGAUAACAUCCCCAAGCCUCCAUUCGCCCAAAUGCUACCCCAUCGCCGUCUCUGUCCCCAUCCCUGGAUCUGAAGGUGAGCAGGAUGGCGGUGACCACAGCCUCUACAUCAUGGACACAGAGCCCGAUCCAUGCAAGGCCUCUCCGUUCGAGGCGCUAAUCUGCUGCAAGUGCCCAGAUAGAGACGUUACUGUCCCGAAGACAUGGCAUUGUGACACACUCCCGCCGCCGCCGUUCCUUAAUAAUCCAGGUCGCAGCUCUAUCUCGAUAUCAUCUUAUUCUGUGGUGGGGGACGUCAUCUGCAUUUCCGCAGAUGGCUUGGGCACCUACUGCUUCGACACGGUGAGCCGGACGUGGAGCCUGGCUGGUGACUGGCAGAUGCCCUUCUACGGCAAGGCGGAGUACAUCCCUGAGCUCAACCUCUGGUUUGGCCUCUCUGCUGGUAAUCCUGAGCUCCCGUGUGCGGCUGAUCUCUCCCCUGUCCUUAGAGGGCAUGAGCCGAAGCAGCGCUAUGUUUGGAGGGAUCCAGAUCUGCCGGAGGAAUGGCACCCGUCAUCCUAUGGUUCCAGCAACAUUACCAGUUUUGGUUCUGGUAGAUUUUGCAUCACCAACUUCUAUGAAGACAUGAACAACUGUUUGAUGGAUAGACAAUCAGGUCCAGUUGGCGAGUCAAUUGUUGUAUUCAGUGGGUUGUAA